GCUGCAAUAGCUCAGUGGUAGAGCUCCCGCUUCGCGUGCGGUGAGACCCGGGUUGGCUUACCGGUUGCUUCC
rnacentral:tRNA from 1 species